AGGAAAUAUAGUUCAUGGAGACACAGAAAACACGCACAGACCCCAACUUGCACGCUCUCUUCCAGUAAGUGACAGAUGUAUCAGACAGAUCGUAACCAAAGUCCAAUCCUGGAAUUGUCUUUACCUGGAUAACUGAAGGACUUUCAGCUUCAACUAGGAUCAUGGACUUUAAAUGUGG